rnacentral:lncRNA from 1 species
AAAUUACAAGAUUUAAUAAUACAAUAUAUAAUAUAUACAAUUAAAAGUAAAAGUCUUUAUUACGGUGUGAUAGUAUACGAUAUACGAAUAAUAUAUGCGAUUAAAAGUAAACAUUGAACAAUAUAAUUCGCUGAUAGCAAAGUUGAACUGUACUAUCGCUCACGCCAUAUUGGCUACUCGCACUGCCUUUCUUAUAGGAUAAACUCUACUUUCAUUAGAACGUCUGAAUCAGUCAUGGGGUUAGGGUUAAAACUUAAAAUUAAAUAUUUCCAUGGUUUUGGGAGGAGUUCUACUUGUCUGUCAUUAGUUAUUUGGACUCCUUCUCUGGUCUUAAAUAUCUGCAAGUUCUCAGCUACUGGAAGCUCCUGUUGGUUAUGUACCCGCUUUAUUACUCUUGCUUCCUCCCAUUUUAUAUUGACCUUAUUUUCAUAUGCUUUAGACACUAAUGCUGUGGAUAGUAUGGCAUUCUUUAUACUUCUCUUGUGCUCUAAUAGCCUAUCUUUUAGGUUUGUUGCUGUUACGCUGAUGUAAUGCUCUUCAGAUUUGAUAUCUAGGUUGUAUAGAAGGAUUUGAUAGAUGCCUGACUUCUGCUCUUCUCUACUGGGGUCUUUGAUAUUGCAGAUCAAAUUGAAAACAGUUGGAGAUCUUUUAUAAGCUGGUGUUUUCUGCCUUUCUUCAUCAGAGUCUUAACUACCUUAACUUCUUUCACGGCCUCAAGUAUUACUAUAUACUCUUCAGGUCUUGUAUUUAUUGGCUCUGUAGAAGUGGUGGGCGAGUUAGAUUAUUAUAAUAACUAAAACUUUUAAUAAAACAUUUUCAGUUGGUAUACAACCAUCUUCGGCAUUAAGAACAGAAGUACAAAAAUUUUUAGUUCAUAAGAAUCACUCCUAACUGCC